ensembl:lncRNA
AAAUUAUUCAGCCCCCUUAAGUUAAUACUUUGUAGCACCACCUUUUGCUGCGAUUACAGCUGUAAGUCGCUUGGGGUAUGUCUCUAUCAGUUUUGCACAUCGAGAGACUGAAAUUUUUUCCCAUUCCUCCUUGCAAAACAGCUCGAGCUCUGUGAGGUUGGAUGGAGAGCAUUUGUGAACAGCAGUUUUCAGUUCUUUCCACAGAUUCUCGAUUGGAUUCAGGUCUGGACUUUGACUUGGCCAUUCUAACACCUGGAUAUGUUUAUUUUUGAACCAUUCCAUUGUAGAUUUUGCUUUAUGUUUUGGAUCAUUGUCUUGUUAGAAGACAAAUCUCCGUCCCAGUCUCAGGUCUUUUGCAGACUCCAUCAGGUUUUCUUCCAGAAUGGUCCUGUAUUUGGCUCCAUCCAUCUUCCCAUAAAUUUUAACCAUCUUCCCUGUCCCUGCUGAAGAAAAGCAGGCCCAAACCAUGAUGCUGCCACCACCAUGUUUGAAAGUGGGGAUGCUGUGUUCAGGGUGAUGGGCUGUGUUGCUUUUACGCCAAACAUAACAUUUUGCAUUGUUGCCAAAAAGUUCAAUUUUGGUUUCAUCUGACCAGAGCACCUUCUUCCACAUGUUUGGUGUGUCUCCCAGGUGGCUUGUGGCAAACUUUAAACGACACUUUUUAUGGAUAUCUUUAAGAAAUGGCUUUCUUCUUGCCACUCUUCCAUAAAGGCCAGAUUUGUGCAAUAUACGACUGAUUGUUGUCCUAUGGACAGAGUCUCCCACCUCAGCUGUAGAUCUCUGCAGUUCAUCCAGAGUGAUCAUGGGCCUCUUGGCUGCAUCUCUGAUCAGUCUUCUCCUUGUAUGAGCUGAAAGUUUAGAGGGACGGCCAGGUCUUGGUAGAUUUGCAGUGGUCUAAUACUCCUUCCAUUUCAAUAUUAUCACUUGCACAGUGCUCCUUGGGAUGUUUAAAGCUUGGGAAAUCUUUUUGUAUCCAAAUCCAGCUUUAAACUUCUUCACAACAGUAUCUCAGACCUGCCUGGUGUAAAACCUUGUUCUUCAUGAUGCUCUCUGCGCUUUUAACGGACCUCUGAGACUAUCACAGUGCAGGUGCAUUUAUACGGAGACUUGAUUACACACAGGUGGAUUGUAUUUAUCAUCAUUAGUCAUUUAGGUCAACAUUGGAUCAUUCAGAGAUCCUCACUGAACUUCUGGAGAGAGUUUGCUGCUGUAACGGCGUUCGUCUGUCGAAGGAGAGUCGGACCAAAAUGCAGCGUGGUUAGUUCGAUACAUGUUUCAUGAAAUUAAAUACGAACAAUACAAAAACAACAAACGGAAAUGUGAAAACCUAAUACAGCCUGUCUGGUGACAACUAACACAGAGACAGGAACAAUCACCCACAAAAUACACAGUGAAACCCAGGCUACCUAAAUAUGGUUCCCAAUCAGAGACAACGAGAAUCACCUGACUCUGAUUGAGAACCGCCUCAGGCAGCCAAGCCUAUGCUAGACACACCCCUAAUCAGCCACAAUCCCAAUGCCUACAAAAACCCCAAUACGACAACACAAUACACCCAUGUCACACCCUGGCCUGAACAAAUAAUUAAAGAAAACACAAAAUACUAAGACCAAGGCGUGACAGCUGCACUGAAAGUAAAGGGGCUGAAUAAUUUUGCACGCCCAAUUUUUCAGUUUUUGAUUUGUUAAAAAAGUUUGAAAUAUCCAAUAAAUGUCAUUCCACUUCAUGAUUGUGUCCCACUUGUUGUUGAUUCUUCACAAAAAAAUACAGUUUUAUAUCUUUAUGUUUGAAGCCUGAAAUGUGGCAAAAGGUCACAAAGUUCAAGGGGGCCGAAUACUUUCGCAAGGCACUGUAUAUAGACUUUUUUCCCUUUUUUUCUACUGUAUUAUUGACUGUAUGUUUUGUUUAUUCCAUGUGCCACCGCCGAUCCACUUUUGUUCUGUCAUCCUUUGUUCUUUGUUCGAGCCAUCCUGGACUCGAGGCGUCAGGCUAGGGGCCUUCAGUACCUCGUGGAGUGGGAGGGGUACGGUCUGGAGGAGAGAUGCUGGGUGCCGGUGGAGGACGUCCUGGACCCUUCGUUGCUGCGGGAUUUCCACCGUCUCCAUACAGAUCGCCCUGCGCCUCGUCCUCCGGGUCGUCCCCGAGGUCGGUGUCAGCGCGCUGCUGGAGCCACGCGUCAAGGGGGGGUACUGUCACGACUUCCGCCGAAGUCGGUCCCUCUUCUUGUUCGGGCGGCGUUCGCCGGUCGACGUCACCGGCUUUCUAGCCACCACCGAUCCACUUUUCAUUUUCCAUUUGUUCUGUCUUUGUCUUAUUCACGUGUUUUUGGCACUUGUAUGUGUUAUGUGCUGUCAUUUGGUAACCGGUAUUAAAGUGCACCUGUUUAUUACACUCCACUCUCCUGCACUCGACUUCGCCUUCCAUAUACACGCAUUACAGUGUCAAAUAACUAUGCUUUAUCUUGGCCAGGUCGCAGUUGCAAAUGAGAACUUGUUCUCAACUAGCCUACCUGGUUAAAUAAAGGUGAAAUAAAAACUUUAAAUUAAACUUUUAAAAAAUGUUGAAGAACAGGGAUAAGAAGUAGCCAAGGCUAGCUUUAGCUUUAUGAUAUUAUACAUCAACUCAGAC